GCGAGUGUGCUGGAAUAGGCAGACAGGCACGUUUGAGGGGCGUGUGUCUUUGACGUACGAGUUCAAGUCUCGUCACUCGCACCA
rnacentral:tRNA from 2 species